rnacentral:rRNA from 1 species
AAAUGGGACCUCUUCAGCAACGG